AAGUCGUAACAAGGUUUCCGUAGGUGAACCUGCGGAAGGAUCAUUAACACGUAUCCAACGUUAAACAACCCUGUGAACUUUAAGUCCCCUCUUGCAGCCCAUGAGGAACAGCAAUCCCGGUAAAUCAUUGCCAAACAGUUUUGAUUCGGGACCUGAAUGACAGUGUCACUGACUGUGUAAGGAUAACGCCUCACGGUUGCUAGAGGUCGAUCACCGACCGGCAGACAUGUCACAGGGUCACCACGCCCCUUAAUCACUCCACUUGAAAAUGCCCCGCCUAGUGGUAACGCGCUAGGUAAAAAAAACCGAACAACUGUUAACAAUGGAUAUCUUGGUUCUC
rnacentral:misc_RNA from 1 species